rnacentral:rRNA from 1 species
UACGAAGGGUGCUAGCGUUGCUCGGAAUCACUGGGCGUAAAGGGUGCGUAGGCGGGUCUUUAAGUCAGGGGUGAAAUCCUGGAGCUCAACUCCAGAACUGCCUUUGAUACUGAGGAUCUUGAGUUCGGGAGAGGUGAGUGGAACUGCGAGUGUAGAGGUGAAAUUCGUAGAUAUUCGCAAGAACACCAGUGGCGAAGGCGGCUCACUGGCCCGGUACUGACGCUGAGGUGCGAAAGCGUGGGGAGCAAACAGG